rnacentral:rRNA from 1 species
CGGCCGCGUCGACGGCAGUUGGCGGGGUAACGGCCCACCAAACCGACGAUGGAUAGGGGUUCUGAGAGGAAGGUCCCCNCCAUGUUAGUCNGANACGACGAACACUCCGAGGNGCAGCNGUGAAGAAUUGUUGACAGUCGCGAGCGUNUACGACGCACAGCGUGUAGGAAGUNUAGGAAGUCUAUAGUUGGUUAACUAACUUUNUUAGGAGAAUAGNGNUCAGUGCUUUAUUUGAUCGGUAACUGAUAAGACAUGUCCGAACUACCUCGGCACGAGACGCGCCCGGGUAAGUUAACGACGGGGAAGUGUCGGACGGACGGUUACUUUACCGGCCGGUUUAAAUUUUGGGUUUUAAAAGGGGGGUUUAACCGGUCGGGUAGGGGGACAAACGGGAACGGCCAAACCACGGGGGGAAGGGGUUAAAGUGG